rnacentral:rRNA from 1 species
CCUACGGGUGGCAGCAGUGGGGAAUAUUGCACAAUGGGGGGAACCCUGAUGCAGCGACGCCGCGUGAGUGAAGAAGUAUUUCGGUAUGUAAAGCUCUAUCAGCAGGGAAGAAAAUGACGGUACCUGACUAAGAAGCCCCGGCUAACUACGUGCCAGCAGCCGCGGUAAUACGUAGGGGGCAAGCGUUAUCCGGAUUUACUGGGUGUAAAGGGAGCGCAGACGGCUGUGCAAGUCUGGAGUGAAAGGCGGGGGCCCAACCCCCGGACUGCUCUGGAAACUGUAAAGCUGGAGUGCAGGAGAGGUAAGCGGAAUUCCUAGUGUAGCGGUGAAAUGCAUAGAUAUCACGCAGAACUCCGAUUGCGAAGGCAGCAUACCGGCGCUCAACUGACGCUCAUGCACGAAAGUGUGGGUAUCGAACAGGAUUAGAUACCCUAGUAGUC